GACGAACGCUGGCGGCGUGCCUAAUACAUGCAAGUAGAACGCUGAAGGAGGAGCUUGCUUCUCUGGAUGAGUUGCGAACGGGUGAGUAACGCGUAGGUAACCUGCCUGGUAGCGGGGGAUAACUAUUGGAAACGAUAGCUAAUACCGCAUAAUAGUAGAUGUUGCAUGACAUUUGCUUAAAAGGUGCAAUUGCAUCACUACCAGAUGGACCUGCGUUGUAUUAGCUAGUUGGUGGGGUAACGGCUCACCAAGGCGACGAUACAUAGCCGACCUGAGAGGGGUAUCGGCCACACUGGGACUGAGACACGGCCCAGACUCCUACGGGAGGCAGCAGUAGGGAAUCUUCGGCAAUGGACGGAAGUCUGACCGAGCAACGCCGCGUGAGUGAAGAAGGUUUUCGGAUCGUAAAGCUCUGUUGUAAGAGAAGAACGAGUGUGAGAGUGGAAAGUUCACACUGUGACGGUAUCUUACCAGAAAGGGACGGCUAACUACGUG
rnacentral:rRNA from 1 species